UCAUUGUGAUGUUUUGUGGAAGGUCCUGUUUCGUUGCGGUAAAACAGCGUAGGUACGUAGAGUAUAAUUCAUUUUUUGGCGUUCUGGUGCUCAAAGUUUUUGGUGCGGAGAUUAGAUUUGGUUAAAGAGGCCGGCCUCACGAAGGAAGCCAAUCAGUGCUGCAGUCCUGGCCAGAUCGUCGCUAAGUGCAUCUCUGAUGCUGCCUGAAAUUUGGUAGCAUUCACGGGGACCCUGAUAUUGUUGGCAGUGACAGAUAACGUGUUCCACCGAGUGAGGCUUUCGACAGAGUUCACAAAAUUUCCGGAAAGGCCCGUUCCCGGAGAAAUUGUGCGAUAUUCUAGUGUGACCCGUUCUGAGCCUCGACACGAUUACCUGCAUUCGGUGGUCCGAAGGAUCCUCCCACUUACGAGUGUCGCCCUUAAUUUUUCUAAUGAAAAGGUCCCUCGAUUGGGACCAUGAGGUUGACCAUGAAUUCUAGAUAGCGUUUUUUGCUGGGAUCUCCCGGGUGAAUAGUGCCGCUUGUCUUCCGGAGGCCGCUAGAUGGUCUGCCUCCUCGUUUCCGCGAAUGCCAACGUGUCCAGGGAUCCAGACAAAGGUGAUGGUUUUUAGAUGGCUUGAAUCCACGGGUGUUUGGCUAGAUCAGAGUCGAGGACUUGUACUACGCUGGCGGAGUCAGUGAAUACGACAAUCGGCUUAUUUGAAGGAGUAGUGGCGGUGAUGAAGGCAGCGGCAGCUUCCGCCGAGAAGAUGGAGUAUUGAUUCGGUAUUCGAUGGCAUAUGGACAUAUGGGAAUCCGAGAUUCCGAUUCCGACACCACCACACGAGACUGAGCCAUUGGAGUACCGGAUGGUCUAAUUAUUAUAUCUGGUUCUCUGGAGCUCUGCAACCGAUCUCAUAAGCGCUGGUGAAUUGGUUCCUGCUUUGAAGUUCCUCUUUAUCGUCAGGUCGGUAGUGGGUCCGGAUAGGUUCCAACCUCUGACUCCGCACUAGUGGACUGUGGACACCGGAGGGAGCUCCAGGUUGGUGGUAUCUGAGAGGAGCUGUUUAGCCUCGGUGAGGAGGAAUGCUCUCUCAUCUAAGCCUUCUGUCUUCUCCUCGAAGCUGAUCGAUCGGUUGCAGAUAGUCUGAAUAAUUAGUCGUUCAAACGGUAGUAUCAACCGGUGUAAGCUAACGCUUUUAAAUUGGCUCACUCCUUGUUCAACCUACUGGUCCCAAGAAAAUCGAUUAACUUACCCCAUGCUUGUCAAAAUUCUAGUACUACACUAUGUUUGUUUUGAUUCGCUAUGAAAGUUUGACAGAUAAAAUCCAAAAAGUUGAGCACGUUUCGUCGGGACCUUCUAGUCUUAGAGUUACCUCUAUGGUGGUACUCCACUUUCUAUGCAAGCUGCGGUUCCGAUUGUGGAUGGUAGGAGACCAGAGGCGAUACGUAUAGCUUGAUGGGGUACGUGGAGGCUAGUUUAGUGGCGAGUUGGUCACGGGCUAGGCAAGUGAUUUCUAUCCCGUAAAGCAGAAGUGAUUCCAGAAUAGUUCUAGCAACGCGAAGCCGAGUGGAUCGGUUGCAGUCCGGGUGUCGUCCCGCAAUGCAUCGGAGGAGGUUCAGGCGUGUCUUACAGGCGUCUUUAACCUCGUCGAAGUGGGGUGAAAAAGACAGAUGCCGGUCGAAUAGAACCCCGAGAACGCGCGCUGACCUCUCGAGGGGAAUAGUUAUCCCGUUGAUGCAUAUAGGAGUACUGAGGGGACGGUGACGGUGAGAGUUGAAAUCCGGCCGAUGACGUCCAUAGUGACCGCUCUUAUUGCUGCUGCCAUCUUCCUCCGAAGUGAAUUGACGGUUUUGCGGACGACCAGGAUUACGAUAUCGGCGGCGUAAAGGAAGAAGUAGAUUUCCUUGGGAAGGUAUACCGGUCUCCUUUCGGAAUGUAGUAGAACGGUGGUUUCCCAGGAGCACCCGGAAGGCAGUUACUUAACCACUCGUGGUUGAUCAGAUCUAGAAGUUUUCUUCUGCCUUCUGGGGGGAAGAUUCCGGAGUAAGGGAUAACCCACCUCGUCUGAGCUUGCAGAGUUCCCUCUGGCCUUGGAAUCCUUGGCUUGGAUAAUGCCAAAGCAAGCUCGUCCAGCCGGAAAUGUCGGUUUAUUGCCGGUACGGGUGAUUCCAUCGGGAUUUCCACGUUGGAAAUGGAUGAUGUUGAUGCGACUCUCGAUCUGCGGAAGUGUUCGUCGUAGCCCUCUAUGUCAGAUAGGGAAGCAAAGUGGUUCCCAAAUGCAUUCACGAUGGUAUCCGGAUCAUGGGUGAUCCCUCCUGCAUGCUGAAGCACAAUUCCCAUUGCUCCAUAGAUCGGAUGCCCAUUGAUUCGGUAGUGCACCAAAGCCACCUCCCUAUCUGGGUGAUCCUUGGGCAGGCGCUUAACGGAUCGAAGAGCUUUCCUUCUAGUAAAUCUAGCAAACUGCAAAUUGCAAUGUAAGUGUUUGGUCCCCACCACGGGAGAGCUUUACGCCCCGGAUUGGGUCUGGAUCGAGGAAUAGUAUCCAUGACAACCUGGAAGAUUAAGCCGAUGUAUUCCGCCAGGUUCGUUGGUUCAGUGUCCCUGCAGGUUGUGAUGAUUGUCCCUUGGAAGCGGGUCCAGUCAGCCCGAUUGUAGAUCCAACGUGGUCUACGAGAGGUUUCAGUUGGUAUACAAUCUAGUCGGAUUUCAAUGGGGCGGUGAUCGCUACCCAUAGGAUCCUCUUUAACUCUCCAGAGGAAACGAUGUAUUAGGCUUGAGCUAACAAAGGAGACGUCGAUUGCAGAUUCUCUCUGUCCGCUGGUAAAGGUAAUGGAAAGAUUGGCUGCUUCCUUCGCAGCUUCAAGCACCUCGAUGCCCCUAAGAUUACUUGAGGGGCUGCCGUUUACGUCACCUAGGAAAUGAAUGUGACCAUCGAUAGUGGAAAAUAAGUCGGUUAACUUACCUUUAAUUAUCAUGAUUGUGAGUGGACAUUCCAGUCUUACACGGCAAUAGGUAAGUCAGUGGUUAAAGGGACGAUGGUGAAGGGAAGAGGUGCUUUUAUUCCAAUAGCAGUACCAUGAAGUAGUGCAUUUAUUGAUAUCAACCGGUUCAAUACAAUUCCAAGGAUGGCUUGCUUUUUCAAACCAGCAUUGGGAUCGGGGUUACAUUGAGCCUGUUGAUGUUAACAUACCUUACCUCAUCAAUCAGGCUAAAACCUUGUUGUCCUCUGCUGUCCGAAGACGUCGUCUCCACUCUACUCGAUCCAUGGCCACAUUUCGCCAGCCUCGUAGUCUGCGAAGGGUCCGCAGGUCGCCUUCUCAUAGAUUAACCUAUCGUAGCCCGGGAAGCCGAGCGAUUUGCAGUUCCAUGUUCCGAGUUUCCAAUCGUAGUCCUUAUUUCGUUGCGUAGGUCUGUGCCGAUUGUUCCGAUUCGUAUUUCUUUCUUCGGUAUUUGCAACUUUAUGUUUUUUUCAGGGUGGCUUGUUGGGCCUGCCCCAAUCCACUGUCUCGCCGGGGGACUAUCGUGCACAGCCCUGUUUAGAGUCCCACGCUGGCACUAGGACGGAAUCAGCCGCUCCUAACAUGGAGAACAGACGCCGGUUUGAGCCGCUUCUCGAUGGCUACGCCACCCUGCUGUGUCCAUGUUUCAGCUGGUAGUCUUUUGUUAUCAUAUGACUCGGGGAGGCGUGAGUUAGGAUCUAGUUAUUCCGCUCCUUCCAGGUUUUCAGUUGAUGUUGACAUACAAAAAUAUAAAGAGAUCAAGAAGAUGACCCAUCUUGCCCCACCAUACCCUACGAAGUAUUUUUGACAGAACAUUUUGCAGUGAUGGUUUGAUGGCAAUGGUUUGAAACGUCAAAAAGCUAGCCAUUCCACACAAUAUGGAUAUCAACGGAACGUAAUAGCCAAUGAUAUCGAAAUUUGAUGCCUAACGCCAUUUUGGACGACCUGAAGCGUUGUCUUGAUGUUUUGUCUCCGAAAAUAGUCUACUGUUAGGCGCAAUAUUCUUUCAGCUUCAAAUAACCAAAGUAAAUUGUCGCCGUUCGAGUCGGUACGGAAUUCACCCUUUUCAAGUUAAGUGAAUCAUCUAGCAUUGAGUACCUUAACCAAACUAAAUCUAAAAUAAAAAAAUAAAUUAAAAUACAAUAUCAAGUUACAAAAACAAACACUACAAAGCAUCAGGCAAGUAAAUAAAAAAGUGGACCUCAUAGCAAAUCCAGGAGAUAAGCAAAGAAAGAAUUGUAUGUAGGAAGUAAUAUCCAAACAAGAAACAAAUUUGUAUAUUUAAAGGACAAAAUCAUACACCUUAAACAAUAGGAAAUAACAAACCAAGAGCGGAAGACAAACCUAAAUAACCCAAAAGAAAUGAAAAGAAAAAAAAAAACCGUUGUUGAAACCUUAGUAUGCCUAUGCAUUUUAUAACCGGAUUACCGAAGCAGGUAUGAAGCAACAUCAGCAGAAAGUUGCUCCAUGAAAAGACGUGCAGACGCAACUAACAGAGGGUAUGAGAUAUUAGUUUUAAUAAUUGAACAAAUCUAAUACGUUGCCAUGCGUCAAAUAUAUCAGAAAUUUUCAUUGAACUUUGGUGGCUUUCGGUUUUCGCUGUGUAGAAUUCUUCGAACAAAUCCCUGCCUAAUUUGUGAACCAUUAUUAUAUAUUUCAUAUAAUCGACCUUACUAUCUGGACGAACUAAAACAAUGCUUGAAUUUGAUUGCGAGAAUGACACUUCUGAAGUGACAUAAGUACAAUCUUCGCAGGACAGAAGCUUCAUCAAUUUGAUCGGGAAAUUGACACUGAACUCAACGUACCUAAUACAGACAAAAAUCUCAAAAUAACUAAACUCCCCUGCGCUUCUCACCCCGCUCUCACUAGCCCGAAUUGCUUUCCCAUUCGAGACUUCUGGUUUCUUGUUCUUUUUUUUGUUAUUGUGCUCAUGUUUCAGGUUUGGAAUGGUAUACGAAAAAAAAAAACAAUCUAUCCUCACAACCGUGGUCACGUCGUCAUAACCA